UGGCAAAACAGUAAAAGAUAGAACUCUUC
rnacentral:piRNA from 1 species